AUAGGUAUGCUUAGGGAGGAGCUUGCGUCACAUUAGUUAGUUGGUGGGGUAAAGGCCUAMCAAGACUAUGAUGUGUAGCCGGGCUGAGAGGUUGAACGGCCACAUUGGGACUGAGACACGGCCCAAACUCCUACGGGAGGCAGCAGUAGGGAAUUUUCGGCAAUGGAGGAAACUCUGACCGAGCAACGCCGCGUGAACGAUGAAGUAUUUCGGUACGUAAAGUUCUUUUAUUAGGGAAGAAUAAAUGAUGGAAAAAUCAUUCUGACGGUACCUAAUGAAUAAGCCCCGGCUAACUAUGUGCCAGCAGCCGCGGUAAUACAUAGGGGGCAAGCGUUAUCCGGAAUUAUUGGGCGUAAAGGGUGCGUAGGCGGUUAAAUAAGUUUAUGGUCUAAGUGCAAUGCUCAACAUUGUGAUGCUAUAAAAACUGUUUAGCUAGAGUAAGAUAGAGGCAAGUGGAAUUCCAUGUGUAGUGGUAAAAUGCGUAAAUAUAUGGAGGAACACCAGUAGCGAAGGCGGCUUGCUGGGUCUUUACUGACGCUGAGGCACGAAAGCGUGGGGAGCAAACAGGAUUAGAUACCCUGGUAGUCCACGCCGUAAACGAUGAGUACUAAACGUUGGGUAAAACCAGUGUUGAAGUUAACACAUUAAGUACUCCGCCUGAGUAGUACGUACGCAAGUAUGAAACUUAAAGGAAUUGACGGGACUCCGCACAAGCGGUGGAUCAUGUUGUUUAAUUCGAAGGUACCCGAAAAACCUCACCAGGUCUUGACAUGCUUCUGCAAAGCUGUAGAAACACAGUGGAGGUUAUCAGUUGCACAGGUGGUGCAUGGUUGUCGUCAGCUCGUGUCGUGAGAUGUUGGGUUAAGUCCCGCAACGAGCGCAACCCUUAUUGUUAGUUACCAGCACGUAAUGG
rnacentral:rRNA from 1 species